UACGUAGGGGGCAAGCGUUGUCCGGAAUCAUUGGGCGUAAAGAGCGUGUAGGCGGCCCGAUAAGUCCGCUGUGAAAGUCCAGGGCUCAACCCUGGAAUGCCGGUGGAUACUGUCGGGCUCGAAUCCGGAAGAGGUGAGUGGAAUUCCUGGUGUAGCGGUGAAAUGCGUAGAGAUCGGGAGGAAGGCCGGUGGCGAAGGCGGCGCUCUGGAACGUUUCUGACACUGAGGCUCGAAAGCGUGGGGAGCAAACAGG
rnacentral:rRNA from 1 species